rnacentral:rRNA from 1 species
UACAGAGGGUGCAAGCGUUGUUCGGAAUUACUGGGCGUAAAGGGCGCGUAGGUGGCCCGCUAAGUCGAACGUGAAAUCCCCGAGCUCAACUCGGGAACUGCGUCCGAUACUGGCGGGCUUGAAUCCGGGAGAGGGAUGCGGAAUUCCAGGUGUAGCGGUGAAAUGCGUAGAUAUCUGGAGGAACACCGGUGGCGAAGGCGGCAUCCUGGACCGGCAUUGACGCUGAGGCGCGAAAGCGUGGGGAGCGAACAGG